rnacentral:rRNA from 1 species
AGAGUUUGAUCCUGGCUCAGAACGAACGCUGGCGGCAGGCUUAACACAUGCAAGUCGAGCGCCCCGCAAGGGGAGCGGCAGACGGGUGAGUAACGCGUGGGAAUCUACCGAGCCCUACGGAAUAACGCAUGGAAACGUGUGCUAAUACCGUAUACGCCCUACGGGGGAAAGAUUUAUCGGGGUUUGAUGAGCCCGCGUUGGAUUAGCUAGUUGGUGGGGUAAAGGCCUACCAAGGCGACGAUCCAUAGCUGGUCUGAGAGGAUGAUCAGCCACAUUGGGACUGAGACACGGCCCAAACUCCUACGGGAGGCAGCAGUGGGGAAUAUUGGACAAUGGGCGCAAGCCUGAUCCAGCCAUGCCGCGUGA